rnacentral:lncRNA from 1 species
GGUUAAGUAACAAAAUCAGAGAGCACGGGAUUGAGGUGAUUAAGGGCAACAAAUGGAUGGUAAAGGAAAGUGGGAAAGCCAUUCAGUCAGAUGAUACUGGGCCAGGAGAGUGAGAUGAACAUGGAGGAGGGGGUGGGCCAAAUGAUGGAGAGAAGGCUGGAAAGAAAGAGACUUCAGGAGGCAGGUGAUGAGGAGAAAGAGGCAGCUGGAGUCAGGGAAGAGGGAAGAAUAGAAAGCGGAGACACCAGGGUCGGGGGUCGGGGAGAGAAACCAGGAGUUAGGAUAGGGAAGAG